UGAGAACCAGCUGCUUUCCUUUGG
rnacentral:piRNA from 1 species